UAUGAAAGGAUACAAAUGGAUAGAGGUUUGGCUCCGACACCCACACUAUUCAUUAGCACCUCCCACUACAGUAUAAAUCCAUGCAUCAAUCUACAUAAUUUAUUUCAUUUAUCAAAAGUUUAUGGGUGUGCAUAUAUGAAUCUCAAAAAUGAUAAAUAGCAAGCUUCCUAAAACUGUGAUCAAAACCUACUCAAACAUGUUUAAACUAAGGGACAGUAUUAGCAUGGAGGCCUGUCUGCUAGUGACUCUCAUGACGAUUUCAGGUGUGUUUGCUGCUGACAGCAUUGGACCAAAUGACAAGGAUCCUAAUAAGACCAGCAGAGAAGGAGAGUCUGUGACACUGAGCUGCACAUAUGAUACAAGCAGCAGUUAUAUAUAUCUUUACUGGUACAGACAGUAUCCUAACACAGAACCUCAGUAUUUACUGCGGAAAGGUGCUCGAUCAUAUGGAGGAGAGGAUAAAACAGAAGAACGGUUUCGACCGACCACAUCCCAAACAUCCACUAAUCUCACUAUUAACAGUGUAACUCUGUCAGAUUCAGCUCUCUAUUACUGUGCUCUAAGAGUAGCAGCCCAGUGAUACAAAAUGCCUGAGAGGCUUUAC